CAACGGUGAAUAGUGGGACUGCUGCUGUGUUUUUGUCGUUUUUUUUUCUCUAAAUUGGACCUUUUAUUAGUUAAUUUAUAUAUUGUUUUAUUCAUAUCCAGGUUGAUGACAGGCCCAGUCCAGUUUCAGUGGAAGAGAAUAUCAUUGAGGUUGAUGACAGGCCCAGUCCAGUUUCAGUGGAAGAGAAUAUCAUUGAGGUUGAUGACAGGCCCAGUCCAGUUUCAGUGGAAGAGAGAGUCAGGGAAAGGCCAGGAUGCCAAAUCAACUUUUGCUUAUUUCAAGAGACCCAAGUCAGAUGAUUUUUUUGUUUCCACCCUAUGCAGAAAAAAAAAAAAAAAUCUGUGUUACAGAGGGUUUUCUGUUUUAAAGACGGUCCAAUCGUAAAUGGCUGUCAUACAAUGAAGAAAGCCAUGCGUUAUACUGUUCAAUGUGGAUGGCAUUUGCGAAGCCUACCGACAGCAGUAUUUUUAUGAGUGGAAUGACGGAUUGGAAACAUGUUCACCAAAGGAUAGAAGAGCAUGAGAAGAGCAACACGCACAGAAAUAGUGCUGAGACAAAACUUUUUAAUGUCCUCCAAAGCAGACAGUCAAAGUCUGUUCAGUGGCAGUCAGGUGUCUGCCCACAGAGAGCAGGUACACAGGAGAAGGCAGGUGUCUGCCCACAGAGAGCAGGUACACAGGAGAAAGGUGUCUGCCCACAGAGAGCAGGUACGCAGGAGAAGACAGGUGUCUGCCCACAGAGAGCAGGUACACAGGAGAAGGCAGGUGUCUGCCCACAGAGAGCAGGUACACAGGAGAAAGGUGUCUGCCCACAGAGAGCAGGUACGCAGGAGAAGACAGGUGUCUGCCCACAGAGAGCAGGUACGCAGGAGAAGGCAGGUGUCUGCCCACAGAGAGCAGGUACGCAGGAGAAGGCAGGUGUCUGCCCACAGAGAGCAGGUACGCAGGAGAAGGCAGGUGUCUGCCCACAGAGAGCAGGUACACAGGAGAAGGCAGGUGUCUGCCCACAGAGAGCAGGUACACAGGAGAAGGCAGGUGCUGGAACGUGUCGUAGACGUGAUGAAAGUCAUUGGCAAGAUGGGGGCUCAGUUACAGGGGGAUGCAGUCUGAGGCUGCGUCUACAUUAGAGGACACCAGUAUCCAUCACGGUAAUUUCUUAGAGAUGAUAAUGCUGCUUGAAAGAACAUCUCACCGAAUGCAUUGAGAAAAGCAAGAACCUACAUCAGUCCUGGGGCAAGAGGCAGAGGUUCUCUAAUCACACUCCUCUCAAAAAAUACUGUCAACACCGUCAUUCACACAAUUUAGAGCAUUAUCCAAGAGAUCACGACAACUGAAAUUGAGCAAGCUGGAAUGUUCUCUGUCCAG
rnacentral:lncRNA from 1 species